GACGAACCGUACGAACGUUAUUCGGAUUCACUGGGCUUAAAGGGUGCGUAGGCGGCCCGGAAAGUUGGGUGUGAAAGCCCUCGGCUCAACCGAGGAAUUGCGCCCAAAACUACCGGGCUUGAGGGAGACAGAGGUGAGCGGAACUUAGGGUGGAGCGGUGAAAUGCGUUGAUAUCCUAAGGAACACCAGGAGCGAAAGCGGCUCACUGGGUCUCUUCUGACGCUGAGGCACGAAAGCUAGGGGAGCGAACGGGAUUAGAUACCCCGGUAGUCCUAGCCGUAAACUAUGAGCACUGGGUUGGAGGGUCCUCCAUAGCCUUCUAGCCGUAGCGAAAGUGUUAAGUGCUCCGCCUGGGGAGUAUGGUCGCAAGGCUGAA
rnacentral:rRNA from 1 species